CAGCGGGAGUUGGCCCAGUGCACAGAGCAACGGGACCAGGCAGUCAUUAAGGUGCGUGCCCUGGAACGGCGGGUGCAGCAGCUGUUGGAGGAGCUGAGGGGCCAGAGGCAGAGAGCAGGGGCCAUGCAGCGAUGCCUGGAGCAGCAGGAGAAGGAGCACCGGCAGGAGCUGGCGGAGCUGGAGUGGCACCAUCGGGAAGCGCUGGAGCAGCAGGGUACCCGGUUGGACAUUCCUGUGCCCCCCCACCGCCCACCAAACAAGGGCCUGGGGGGAUCAGAGCAGGAGCAGCGCCACCCAGGCUGUGGCCAGCGCAGCCUCAGCAGCUUCCGGCAGGAACGGGCACCCGAGAAACGAGGGGCAGCUGGGAAGGUCAGAGGUUCCUCACCACAGGGUCCCUGAGUUGUGGGCAGGCUGGUGCCCAGUGGGGAGCGGGGCCAGGAGCCGGAGUCCCCCACAGAGCUGCAGGCCCUGAGGGCUGAGGUUUUGGGGCUGCGCCGGCGCCUGGCUGCCUUUGAGAGCCUGCGCAAGGGGCUGCUGGAAACCUGCUGGCAGCUGCGUCAAGGCACCCGGGACCUGACUGGGG
rnacentral:lncRNA from 1 species